GCAUUAAUGGGGUAGUGGUAACCUGGGUCGUUGCCAUGAAUGGUAGCUCGUCCUGUCGACCCGCCGGGGGUUCGAUUCCCCCUUAAUGCA